GAAGCCCUCGUACGUUUGAACCUCAAGAUAUAUUUCAGAAUUACUGUGAUUUACCAAAAAGCCUACUUAUUAAAAAUUAAGUAGAAGAUCCACGAUCUGCACCGAUACACAGAGGAAGUUAUUUCAACAACUUACAACAAAAAGUCAAAAAGGGAAUCGCUCUCUUGCUGCGAUUCAUGAGUGAAAAUUCAAGAAAGUACUAUUAAAGUCAACGAUCACUCUCGAGAUACGAGGUGACUACCAUUCUUUAUCGACUUGAAGCUAGCCAGAUGACGAGUUGAUGUAGACCCUUAAAUGGUAAGUCUGAAUAGUGUCAUAAUUAAAGUUAGUUUAGGUUAUCGACAUUUGCCUAUUU